rnacentral:rRNA from 1 species
GAGUGGCGAACGGGUGAGUAACACGUGGGUAAUCUGCCCUGCACUCUGGGAUAAGCCUUGGAAACGGGGUCUAAUACCGGAUAUCACAACUUCAGGCAUCUGGGGUUGUUGAAAGUUCUGGCGGUGCAGGAUGAACCCGCGGCCUAUCAGCUUGUUGGUGGGGUAAUGGCCUACCAAGGCGACGACGGGUAGCCGGCCUGAGAGGGUGACCGGCCACACUGGGACUGAGACACGGCCCAGACUCCUACGGGAGGCAGCAGUGGGGAAUAUUGCACAAUGGGCGCAAGCCUGAUGCAGCGACGCCGCGUGAGGGAUGACGGCCUUCGGGUUGUAAACCUCUUUCGCCAGGGACGAAGCGCAAGUGACGGUACCUGGAUAAGAAGCACCGGCUAACUACGUGCCAGCAGCCGCGGUAAUACGUAGGGUGCGAGCGUUGUCCGGAAUUAUUGGGCGUAAAGAGCUCGUAGGCGGUUUGUCGCGUCGGCCGUGAAAUCUCCACGCUUAACGUGGAGCGUGCGGUCGAUACGGGCAGACUUGAGUUCGGUAGGGGAGACUGGAAUUNCU